rnacentral:rRNA from 1 species
AAGUAUAUGCAUAUUUGAUAUGUAGAAACUGCGAACGGCUCAUUAUAACAGUUAUAAUCUACUUGACAUUUUUUACAUUAUAAGGAUAACUACGGAAAAUCUGUAGCUAAUACUUGUUUUUAUGUAUUUACAUAUUUUCGAAUUUGUAAGUACAGUACUUGUUAUUCUCUUAUAAAAAUUUUUACUGAUUAAUGGAAUUAUAACAAAGAAGUGACACAUGAUACAUUUUUUGAUGUAUAUUAGUGUGUAUCAAUCGAGUUUCUGACCUAUCAGCUUUUGAUGUUAGGGUAUUGACCUAACAUGGCAGUGACGGGUAACGGGGAAUUAGAGUUCGAUUCCGGAGAGGGAGCCUGAGAAACGGCUACCACAUCUAAGGAAGGCAGCAGGCGCGUAAAUUACCCAAUUCUAACGAAGAGAGGUAGUGACAAGAAAUAAUAGGACAAGACUAUUUUAUAGUUUUGUAUCUGUGCUGAUGGGAAUUUAAAAACUUCUCAAAAUUCUAUUGGAGGGCAAGUCUGGUGCCAGCAGCCGCGGUAAUUCCAGCUCCAAUAGCGUAUAUUAAAAUUGUUGCAGUUAAAACGCUCGUAGUUGAAUUUGGAUAGGAUUUUUUCAGAAAAGAAAAACAUAUUGUAUUUUGAUUUAUUUAAUUAAAAACGAUAUGUCUUUUCAUUUUAGAUACGAAUCCUUAUUUAGAUCUUUUUAUUGCAUUUUUUUGUAGUAUAAAGAUUUAGUUACUUUGAGUAAAUUAGAGUGUUUAAAGCAAACUUUUUUUUUGUUUGAAUACUAUAGCAUGGAAUAACAACAUUGAACCAGUCAAAUUUUUUUAUUAAUUUUUAUAAUUUGGCUUAGUUACGAUUAAUAGGAGUAGUUUGGGGGCAUUUGUAUUCAGAUGUUAGAGGUGAAAUUCUUAGAUUUUCUGGAGACAAACAACUGCGAAAGCAUUUGCCUAAAAUACUUCCAUUAAUCAAGAACGAAAGUUAAGGGAGUGAAGACGAUCAGAUACCGUCGUAAUCUUAACCAUAAACGAUACCGACUAGGUUUUGGAUGAAAGAUCAUAAAAUUUUUUGGUUGUUCGGGGAAUGUUUGUAUGACUCGCGCUAUGCAAAUGUUCUUUCGAAUAAUCAGAAAAACGUUGCUUCCUUCAGUACCUUACGAGAAAUCAAAGUUUUUGGGUUCUGGGGCGAGUAUUCGCGCAAGCGAGAAAGUUAAAAGAAUUGACGGAAGGGCACCACCAGGCGUGGAGCUUGCGGCUUAAUUUGACUCAACACGGGAAACCUCACUAGUUUAAGACAAGAGUAGGAUUGACAGAUUGAUAGCUCUUUCUUGAUUUCUUGGAUGGUGAUGCAUGGCCGUUUUUAGUUCGUGAAUAUGAUUUGUCUGGUUAAUUCCGAUAACGAACGAGACCUUACCUUGCUAAUUAGCGAUAAGUACACUGUAUUCUUAAUUUAAAAGAUAUAGAUUUUUGUUAGGUUUCCCUAUCAUUUUCUUAUAUUUUUGUAUAAGAAUUUGAUUGUGGUUACUCUUUUCAAUAUUCUUAUCUUUUGUUAAGAAUGUAUUUGUUUCAUAUUAAAGCUUCUUAGAGGAACGAUGUGUGUUUAACACAAG